rnacentral:rRNA from 1 species
UACGUAGGGUGCGAGCGUGUCCGGAAUAUUGGGCGUAAAGAGCUUGUAGGCGGUUUGUCGCGUCUGCCGUGAAAAUCCGGGGCUCAACCCCGGACUGCGGUGGGUACGGGCAGACUAGAGUGUGGUAGGGGAGACUGGAAUUCCUGGUGUAGCGGUGAAAUGCGCAGAUAUCAGGAGGAACACCGAUGGCGAAGGCAGGUCUCUGGGCCACUACUGACGUGAGAAGCGAAAGCGUGGGGAGCGAAACAGG